CGUAACUAUAACGGUCCUAAGGUAGCGAAAUUCCUUGUCGGGUAAGUUCCGACCCGCACGAAAGGCGUAAUGAUUUGAGCGCUGUCUCGACAAUGCAUCCGGUGAAAUUGAAGUACCAGUGAAGAUGCUGGUUACCUGCGCCAGGACGGAAAGACCCCAUGGAGCUUUACUCCAGUUUGGUACUGGGAUCCGGUACUGCAUGUACAGGAUAGGUGGGAGGCUGUGAAAUAGUAACGCCAGUUAUUAUGGAGCCGCUGUUGGGAUACCACCCUUGCAGUAUUGGGUUUCUAACCAGCCGCCGUGACCCGGCGGUGGGACAAUGCCAGACGGGGAGUUUGACUGGGGCGGUCGCCCCCGAAAGGGUAUCGGAGGCGCCCAAAGGUUCCCUCAGAAUGGACGGAAACCAUUCGAAGAGUGCAAAGGCAGAAGGGAGCUUGACUGCGACACCGACGGGUGGAGCAGGUACGAAAGUAGGGCUUAGUGAUCCGGUGGUAUUAAGUGGGAAUGCCAUCGCUCAACGGAUAAAAGCUACCCUGGGGAUAACAGGCUUAUCACUCCCAAGAGUUCACAUCGACGGAGUGGUUUGGCACCUCGAUGUCGGCUCAUCGCAUCCUGGGGCUGUAGUAGGUCCCAAGGGUUGGGCUGUUCGCCCAUUAAAGCGGUACGCGAGCUGGGUUCAGAACGUCGUGAGACAGUUCGGUCCCUAUCCGGCGUGGGCGUAGGAUAUCUGAGAGGAGCUGUCCUUAGUACGAGAGGACCGGGAUGGACGGGCCGCUGGUGCACCGGUUAGACUGCCAAGUCUAUAGCCGGGUAGCCAAGCCCGGAAGGGAUAAACGCUGAAGGCAUCUAAGCGUGAAGCCCCCCUCAAGAUGAGAUAUCCCAUCCGAAAGGAGUAAACCCCCUUGAAGACGACGAGGUUGAUAGGGCAGAGGUGGAAGUGUGGUAACACAUGGAGCUGACUGCUACUAAUAGGGUGAGGGCUUGACCAA
rnacentral:rRNA from 1 species